rnacentral:rRNA from 1 species
CUUAAGCAUAUCAAUAAGCGGAGGAAAAGAAACCAACAGGGAUUGCCCCAGUAACGGCGAGUGAAGCGGCACCAGCUCAAAUUUGAAAUCUGGGGCCCUCGGCCUCCGAGUUGUAAUUUGGAGAGGCAUCCUUCUGGGGGGAGCGCCGGCCCAUGUUCCUUGGAACAGGACGUCACAGAGGGUGAGAAUCCCGUGUCAGGCAGGCUGCCUCCUCCCGUGUGAAGGGCCUUCGACGAGUCGAGUUGUUUGGGAAUGCAGCUCCAAGUGGGUGGUAAAUUUCAUCUAAAGCUAAAUACCGGCGGGAGACCGAUAGCGCACAAGUAGAGUGAUCGAAAGAUGAAAAGCACUUUGAAAAUAGAGUCAAAAAGUACGUGAAAUUGUUGAAAGGGAAGCGCUUGAGACCAGACUCAGGCCCGGGCAAACACCGCGCCCCUUGGGGCCGUGCAAUUGCCCGGGGCUGGGCCAGCAUCAGUUGGUGUGGCGGGACAAAGGCGCAGGCAAUGUGGCUCCCCUCGAGGAGUGUUAUUAGGCCCGCGCUCAAUGCCGCCGACGUCGACUGAGGACCGCGCCUCGGCUAGGAUGCUGGCUCAAUGGCCUUCAGCGACCCGUCUUGAAACACGGACCAAGGAGUCUAACAUCUAUGCGAGUGUUUGGGCGUCAAACCCUUGCGCGUAAUGAAAGUGAGCGGAGGUGGGAACCCCUCGCGGGGCGCACCAUCGACCGAUCCUGAUGUCUUCGGAUGGAUUUGAGUAGGAGCAUAGCUGUUGGGACCCGAAAGAUGGUGAACUAUGCCUGAAUAGGGUGAAGCCAGAGGAAACUCUGGUGGAGGCUCGCAGCGGUUCUGACGUGCAAAUCGAUCGUCAAAUUUGGGUAUAGGGGCGAAAG